rnacentral:rRNA from 1 species
GAUGAACGCUAGCUACAGGCUUAACACAUGCAAGUCGAGGGACCGGCGCACGGGUGAGUAACACGUAUCCAACCUGCCCUUUACUCGGGGAUAGCCUUUCGAAAGAAAGAUUAAUACCCGAUAUAAAGGAUGGGGAUGCGUUCAAUGAGUUUGUUGGUGCGGUAACGGCCCACCAAGCCUUCGAUGGAUAGGGGAUCUGAGAGGAAGGUCCACCACAUUGGAACUGAGACACGGUCCAAAAUCCUACGGGAGGCAGCAGUGAGGAAGAUUGGUCAAUGGGCGUUAGCCUGAAACAGCCAAGUAGCGGGAAGGAGGAAGGCUUAUGGGUCGUAAACUUCUUUUAUAUAAGAAUAUGUAUUAUAUGAAUAAGGAUCGGCUAACUCCGUGCCAGCAGCCGCGGUAAUAC